rnacentral:rRNA from 1 species
AUUGAACGCUGGCGGCAGGCUUAACACAUGCAAGUCGAACGAGUGGCGGACGGGUGAGUAAUGCUUGGGAAUCUAGCUUAUGGAGGGGGAUUACUACGGGAAACUGUAGCUAAUACCGCGCACCACAGGAUGAGCCCAAAUGGGAUUAGGUAGUUGGUGUGGUAAAGGCUCACCAAGCAGACGAUCUCUAGCUGGUCUGAGAGGAUGACCAGCCACACUGGGACUAAGACACGGCCCAGACGCCGGCGGGAGACAGCAGUGGGGAAUAUUGCGCGAUGGGGGCGACGUGACGAAGCCAUGCCGCGUGAAUGAAGAAGGCCUUGGGGUUGUAAAGUUCUUUCAAUAGCGAGGCGUUAACUACAGAAGAAGCACCGGCUAGCUCCGUGCCAGCAGCCGCGGUGAUUC